GAAAUAUGAAAGAAAUCAAUAUAAGCUUCUAACUUAAUAUAUAGUGGUUAAAUUCCAUUAAUAUUUCU
rnacentral:tRNA from 1 species